UAUUAUGAGAUUCUCGCAUGAGAAACUUAUGAAAGCUAUAUGCGCCAAGAGAGAGCCUUGCGUUCCAUUAGCUAGUUGGUGGGGUAACGGCCCACCAAGGCGACGAUGGAUAGCCGGCCUGAGAGGGUGAACGGCCACAAGGGGACUGAGACACGGCCCUUACUCCUACGGGAGGCAGCAGUGGGGAAUAUUGGACAAUGGGCCACAAGCCUGAUCCAGCAAUUCUGUGUGCACGAUGAAGGUCUUCGGAUUGUAAAGUGCUUUCAGUUGGGAAGAAGAAAGUGACGGUACCAACAGAAGAAGCGACGGCUAAAUACGUGCCAGCAGCCGCGGUAAUACGUAUGUCGCAUGCGUUAUCCGGAUUUAUUGGGCGUAAAAGCGCGUCUAGGCGGAAAAAUAAGUCUGAUGUUAAAAUGCGGGGCUUCAACUCCCGUAUUGCGUUGGAAACUGUUUUUUCUAGAGUACUGGAGAGGUGGGCGGAACU
rnacentral:rRNA from 1 species